rnacentral:rRNA from 1 species
GAUAAACGCUGGCGGCGCACAUAAGACAUGCAAGUCGAACGGAAGUCGUUUUACUGAAUUUGAAAUGAAAGAUUUAUCCGGAUUUGAGAACGAUUUAAAACAAUGGCUUUAGUGGCGGACUGGUGAGUAACACGUAAGCAACCUGCCUAUUAGAGGGGAAUAACAGCGAGAAAUCGUUGCUAAUACCGCAUAUGCCAUAUGAACCACAUGGUUCAAGUGGGAAAGGAGCAAAUCCGCUAAUAGAUGGGCUUGCGUCUGAUUAGAUAGUUGUGGGUAACGGCUACCAAGUCGACGAUCAGUAGCCGGACUGAGGUAGUCAACGCCAUAGUGGACUGAGAGUACCGGCCA